AACGAACGCUGGCGGCAGGCCUAACACAUGCAAGUCGAACGCUCCAGCAAUGGAGAGUGGCAGACGGGUGAGUAACGCGUGGGAACCUACCCUUUGGUUCGGAAUAGCCCAGGGAAGCUUGGGGUAAUACCGGAUAAGCCCUUCGGGGGAAAGAUUUAUCGCCAAUGGAUGGGCCCGCGGCGGAUUAGCUAGGUGGUGGGGAAACGGCCCACCAAGGCGACGAUCCGUAGCUGGUCUGAGAGGAUGAUCAGCCACACUGGGACUGAGACACGGCCCAGACUCCUACGGGAGGCAGCAGUGGGGAAUAUUGGACAAUGGGCGCAAGCCUGAUCCAGCCAUGCCGCGUGAGUGACGAAGGUCUUCGGAUUGUAAAGCUCUUUUGGCGGGGAAGAUAAUGACGGUACCCGCAGAAUAAGCCCCGGCUAACUUCGUGCCAGCCGCCGCCGUAA
rnacentral:rRNA from 1 species